GGUCACCUCCCACCCGUGUUUAUUUUACCUUGUUGCUUCGGCGGGCCCGCCUUAACUGGCCGCCGGGGGGCUUACGCCCCCGGGCCCGCGCCCGCCGAAGACACCCUCGAACUCUGUCUGAAGAUUGUAGUCUGAGUGAAAAUAUAAAUUAUUUAAAACUUUCAACAACGGAUCUCUUGGUUCCGGCAUCGAUGAAGAACGCAGCGAAAUGCGAUACGUAAUGUGAAUUGCAAAUUCAGUGAAUCAUCGAGUCUUUGAACGCACAUUGCGCCCCCUGGUAUUCCGGGGGGCAUGCCUGUCCGAGCGUCAUUGCUGCCCUCAAGCACGGCUUGUGUGUUGGGCCCCGUCCUCCGAUCCCGGGGGACGGGCCCGAAAGGCAGCGGCGGCACCGCGUCCGGUCCUCGAGCGUAUGGGGCUUUGUCACCCGCUCUGUAGGCCCGGCCGGCGCUUGCCGAUCAACCCAAAUUUUUAUCCAGGUUGACCUCGGAUCAGGUAGGGAUACCCGCUGAACUUAAGCAUAUCAAUA
rnacentral:rRNA from 1 species